rnacentral:misc_RNA from 1 species
GAAAUGCGAUAAGUAAUGUGAAUUGCAGAAUUCAGUGAAUCAUCGAAUCUUUGAACGCACCUUGCGCUCCUUGGUAUUCCUUGGAGCAUGCCUGUUUGAGUAUCAUGAAAUCUUCAAAGUAAAUCUUUUGUUAACUCAAUUGGUUUCACUUUGGUAUUGGAGGUCUUUGCAGCUUCACACCUGCUCCUCUUUGUUCAUUAGCUGGAUCUCAGUGUUAUGCUUGGUUCCACUCGGCGUGAUAAGUUAUCUAUCGCUGAGGACACUGUAAAAGGUGGCCAAGGUAAAUGCAGAUGAACCGCUUCUAAUAGUCCAUUGACUUGGACAAUACUUUUAUGAUCUGAUCUCAAAUCAGGUAGGACUACCCGCUGAACUUAAGC